UGGGAUAUGCAUGAGGAGAUGAUUAAAAAUUCAGAGGAAUUCUUUCAGCAGGUACGUCUAAUUUUCUCGUCCAUUUUCUGGUAUAUUGCCCUUUUGUUAGAAGCAUCUUUGAAGCCUUGAACCUGCUUAAACAAUCUAGCCCAAUCAGGUUAUCACAUUUAGCCCAUCUGUUUCUGAUAUAUAUGUUUUAAUUGUUCAGUAAAAUAGCUACUUUGACAUCAAAAUUGUUUGCUUAAGUGACUCUUUCUGUUAAAUUCUGUAAAUUUUUGCUUAAAGAUAUAGUGGUAAUGAAUAAUUGAGUUGCAAAUUGAUCUGUCAACUGUAUAAUGAAGUCCUUCUGAAUAUUCGAGUCCUAGAGUACCAUAAUUGUUGUUCGGUAUAGUAUUUUUUCAAGUACAGACCUACUUGUGCACAACUUGACUAACAACAAGUAAGAAUUCACCUUUUGUCACCCCUAGUGCUUUGGUCUAGUCUCAAAGUUGGCUUGACAUAGCUCUUUUCUUUUUCACAGCUAAAGCUUCCUUACCAAAUUGUGGCUAUUGUUUCUGGCGCACUGAAUGACGCAGCAGCAAAGAAGUAUGAUUUAGAAGGAUGGUACCCUGCAUCAUCAACUUAUAGAGAGCUUGUGUCCUGCUCAAACUGCACAGAUUACCAGUCGAGAAAAUUGGAAAUUCGGUUUGGACAGAAGGUAUUUUGACUUGCCCCCUUCAUUCAUUGCAAUUCAGCUUCCGUUCCAAAUGUUUACGAUAUUUAGCAUCUGAACUACUCUUAACAUAAUUUUUUCUCCUUAGGUUAAUGAGCAAACUAAGCAGUACGUGCAUUUAUUGAACUCAACCCUUACAGCGACAGAAAGGACUAUGUGUUGUAUACUUGAAAACUACCAGACGGAGGACGGAGUUGAAAUUCCUGAAGUUCUACAGCCAUACAUGGGUGGGAAGACAUUCAUGCCUUUCCAGGACCCUCCGGUAAAAGAAGUGAAAGGAAAGAAGUGAAAGGAAAUUGAGUUGAACAUAGACAUUCAUUUAGUUCUUGAUUAAUUACUGAUCUAUACUAUCCAGUUUUCUAGUGUUAUGUGCACUAGAUUGUUUUCCCAUCUUAAUAAUAUUAAUACACAUUCUUCAACAUGUUACUGUUCUUGUCGGGAUCAACUCAUUAUUCUCGUUUUUUCACCAGAGUCAUCCCUCCUUUCUUUGGUACAACAAUGAUUGGACUAAUUCAACUACUGUUAGAAUAGGAAAGAUUAUUCCUGCAUCUAAAAGCUUGAGCACUUUCUUUUGCACAACUUCUUUGGUACCACUAGUUUACUAGUUUCCUCCAGCAGGAUCGAUUCCUAGAAUAUCGACUAUUGUCCAUCUAGAGACAAUAUCUCAGAUGGUCACUCAAUUAUGAACUAUUUUCUUAGAAAGUCACUUAACUUUGAUUUUUAACUCAAAAGUCACUGACAUGUGGAUCUUCAUUCUCUAUAGUACUCGGUUCGAGUGAUGCAUCUGUCCAAUGAGUCCUCUGGUAACUAGAAUGCAUAGAUGUGUAAUAGCUACAUAAUAUAUGCAAAAUUUUCUGCAAUUUUUAACACUUUAUAUGGUGCUGCUCCAUUUAAUCAGAAUGUGAAAUAAUUGUUGGAUUCAGUUAUCUUAGUUUUCAGAACUAUGUGAUUUCAAUGAAAAGGGAAAAGGGUAUAAUAUACUCCUUUAACUUUGUUAAUUUUACCUAUCUGGGGUAUGGAAGCUUCUCUCUGGGCGCACGUUAACUGAACUGCGCUUCCAUGGGGAGGAGGGAGCGUAUCCCAUCCCAGAAGGCUCUAAUGGCUCAUGAAUCACAGGCAGCAGCUCAAAGAGGAAGGAAAUCAACUCAGGUGGUAGCUGAAGGAACUUCUUCAGCAGUGCAAGCAGCAAGAUCUAAUGAAACAGUGAAAUUGGGGAACGGAGGAUCAAAGAUAGGGCAAGGGGACAUUGUUGUUGGAGAAUCAGCUGAUUCACCAAUCGAAACCCAAACUAUUGGGUGGAAAACAAUUGAGCGAGGUCUAGUUAAGGAAACGCAGAGAGUAGCAAAACAAAUUUGGGAGGAGAUUGGGGAAGCACAGCAAAGGCUGGACCAAGCAGAUUCAGCAAGUAGCGGGAAGAAAUCAUGGGCAGAUCAAGUAGAGGA
rnacentral:lncRNA from 1 species